GGGGAAUUUUGGACAAUGGGGGAAACCCUGAUCCAGCCAUCCCGCGUGUAUGAUGAAGGCCUUCGGGUUGUAAAGUACUUUUGGCAGAGAAGAAAAGGCAUCCCCUAAUACGGGAUGCUGCUGACGGUAUCUGCAGAAUAAGCACCGGCUAACUACGUGCCAGCAGCCGCGGUAAUACGUAGGGUGCAAGCGUUAAUCGGAAUUACUGGGCGUAAAGCGUGUGUAGGCGGUUCGGAAAGAAAGAUGUGAAAUCCCAGGGCUCAACCUUGGAACUGCAUUUUUAACUGCCGAGCUAGAGUAUGUCAGAGGGGGGUAGAAUUCCACGUGUAGCAGUGAAAUGCGUAGAUAUGUGGAGGAAUACCGAUGGCGAAGGCAGCCCCCUGGGAUAAUACUGACGCUCAGACACGAAAGCGUGGGGAGCAAAC
rnacentral:rRNA from 1 species